UACAGAGGUGGCAAGCGUUGUUCGGAAUUACUGGGCGUAAAGGGCGCGUAGGCGGACAUUUAAGUCAGAGGUGAAAGCCCAGGGCUCAACCUUGGAAUUGCCUUUGAUACUGGAUGUCUUGAGUUCGGGAGAGGUGAGUGGAAUGCCGAGUGUAGAGGUGAAAUUCGUAGAUAUUCGGCGGAACACCAGUGGCGAAGGCGACUCACUGGCCCGAUACUGACGCUGAGGCGCGAAAGCGUGGGGAGCAAACAGG
rnacentral:rRNA from 1 species